UUUUUUCUUUUCUUCUACCCAGUUAUGUAGAGGGUUUCUUGCCCUUUUUGGAGGUUUAAGUUCUUCUGCCAGCAUUCAGUAAAUGUUCUGUGUGAAUCAUUCUAAGUGUAGUCGGUUGUUUUAGUUUUUGUUUUUUAUCUUUUUAGGGGCACACUUGUGGCACACGGAGGUUGCCAUGCUAGGGGUCAAAUCAGAGCUGUAGCCACUGGCCUAUACCACAGCCACAGCAAUGUGGGACACGAGCCAUGUCUGUGACCUACACCAUAGCUCACAGCAAUGCCAGAUCCUUAACCCACUGAGCGAGGCCAGGGAUCAAACCUACGUCCUCAUGGAUGCUAGUCAGAUUCGUUUCCGCUGAGCGAUGUACCUCCUCUCCACGUAGUUAAGUUUUUUUGAUGUUUGUGGGAGAAGGUGAGUGCAAUAUCUUACUCCUUGCCAUCUUAAUCCUUCUCCUAUAUUCUUUUUCUCAUACUAUCUUCUGUCAUGGUCACCCCAAGAUACUGGAGGUAGUUCCUUAUGCUACACAGCAGGAUCUCAUUGCUUAUCCAUUCUAAAUGUAACAAUUUGCAUCUACUGACCACAAACUCCCCAUCCAUCCCACUCCCUCCCCCUCCCUCUUGGCAACCACAAAUCUGCUCUCCAUGCCCAUGUUCUGUUUCUGUUUUGUAGAUAGGAUCACUUUUGCGGUAAUAUUAAGUUCCACAUGUAGGUGACAUCAUAUGGUAUUUACAUUUCUUUUUGACUUACUUCACUUUGCAUGAGAAUCUGUAGUUGUAUUCAUGUUUCUAUAAAUGGCAUGAUUUUGGCAAUUUAAGGCUAUUAUUCCAUUGUAUAUAUGGACCACAUCUUCUUAAUCCAGUCAUCUGUUGAUGGACAUUUAUGUCGUUUUCAUGUCAUGGCUAUUGUUUUAUUUGUUUAUUUAUUUAUUUAUUGCUUUAUAGGGCCUCAUCCAUAGCAUGUGGAAGUUCCCAGGCUAGGAGUCUAAUUGGAGCCACAGCUGCUGGCCUACACCACAGCUCACCACAAUGCCAGAUCCUUAACCUACUGAACAGGCCCAGGGAUCAAUCCCGCACCCUCAUGUUUCCUAGUCUGGUUCGUUAACCACUGAGCCAUGAGGGAACUCCUGUCUUUUCAUUGUGUCUAGUUUUCUGUGUGUCCACCUUUUUGCAGGCUACAGGAUUGUAGUCUUACUUCUGGUGUCUGCCUCCUUGUGGGCAAAGUCCAUAGAGGGGCUUGUGGGCUGGUUUUGUGAUGGGAGGGACUAGUGCCUGCACACAGGUUGGUGGAACUUUGUCUUGUUCCUUUGGCAGGUGAGUUUUGUCACUGGGUUUGAUUAGAGGUGGCUGUGUGCCUGGGAGGACUUUAGGCAGCCUGUUUGCUGAUGUUUGGGCCUUGUUCACAGCCUGUUUGCUGUUGCGCCUAGGGAUUCUCAGCCAUGAUUUGGCUGAAAAAUAUGUGGGGCAGAUUUUUCUAAAAUGGCAGCCUCCAGAAGAGCUCAUGCUGAUUAUAAUUCCCUAGGACUUCUGCCUCCAAAGUGCCGCCCCCACAGCAAGCUAGAGUCACCACUCCUUUCCUGGCAGACCGUCCAAGACCCACAAGUAGGUCUGACCCAGAUUCUUAUCAAGUGACUGCUUUGCCCUGGGACCCAGUGCACAUGAAACCCUGUGUGCGCCUUCCAAGAAUGGAGUAUCUGUUUCCCCCAGGCCCACUGGACUUCCAUACCAAAUGCUCGGGGGGCGGGGGGACUCCUCCUUCCAAUGCCAGUCCCCCAGGCUUUUUUAGGUUCAACCUCAUUGUGGUAUUUUGGCUUUGUGAAUCUAGAUGUCCUUUUUCUUUCCUAGAUUUGUGGGAAAGUCAGCCAUUAAUUCUUUCAAAAACCCUUUUCCUUUCUCUUCUUCUGGAACUUCCACUGUAUUGUAUACUGUUAUUCCUGAUAGUGCCCUAGAAUUCCUGUAGGUAUCAUGGACUCUUUGUCAUUCCUUUUGACGUUUGCUCCUCUGAGUAAUUCAAAUCACCUGUCCUCAAGUCCACAGUUACUUUCUCUGCUUGUGCAAGUCUGCUUUGGAAGCUCCUUAUGGAAUUCAUUAGUGCAGUCAUUGCAUUCUUUGCUCUAGAAUGUAUGGUUGGAUUCAUUUUGAUGGUUUCUAAGUCUUUUGAACUUAUUCCAAUCACGUAUUGCUUUAAUUGUUCUAGUUCUCCCUCUGAAAUGUCUUUUCACUCAAUUAGGUUUUUUAAGAGCUUCCAUGCCUGCCCGCUUGCACCUUUCACAAGUGUCCUAUCUUAAGUCUAUUUCUUGCCUAUCAUUUUGUCUCUAGCUGAAUUCCUUCUGUGAGGAGACAUGAAGAACCUGAACCUCAGUGAGUCCAGACACAGGAUAGUGGUGUUCAAUUCACUGUGCAUCUGGAGACGGGAUUAAGAUGGUGGAAUAGAAGGACUGGAGCUCAACUUCUCUCAUAAAAACAACAAAAUUCACAACUAAAGACUGAGCACCCUUCACCCAAAUAGACCGUAAACCUUAAAAAAGAUAUCUUACUCCAGAAGAAAAAGAGGAGGACACAUCAAGAGGCAGCAGGGGCGAUUUAGCUAUAUAAACAACCCCAUACGUCCUGGGUGGGAAGCUCCACAGACUGGAAACUAACUGGUUCACAGAGACUCACCUAAAGGAGUGAGAGUUCUGAGCCACACAUCAAACUCUCACGUGUGGGGAUCUGGCAUGGGGAGAAAGAGCCUCAGGGCAUCUG
rnacentral:lncRNA from 1 species